rfam:Aspergillus oryzae RIB40 DNA, chromosome 6.
ACAUACGACCAUAGGGUGUGGAGAACAGGGCUCCCCGUCCGCUCAGCCGUACUUAAGCCACACGCCGGGAGGUUAGUAGUUGGGUGGGUGACCCCCAGCGAAUCCCUCCUGUUGUAUGUU